GACGAACGCGGCGGCGUGCUUAACACAUGCAAGUCGAACGAAGAGCGAUGGAAGCUUGCUUCUAUCAAUCUUAGUGGCGAACGGGUGAGUAACGCGUAAUCAACCUGCCCUUCAGAGGGGGACAACAGUUGGAAACGACUGCUAAUACCGCAUACGAUCUAAUCUCGGCAUCGAGGAAAGAUGAAAGGAGGCCUCUAUGUAUAAGCUAUCACUGAAGGAGGGGAUUGCGUCUGAUUAGCUAGUUGGAGGGGUAACGGCCCACCAAGGCGAUGAUCAGUAGCCGGUCUGAGAGGAUGAACGGCCACAUUGGGACUGAGACACGGCCCAGACUCCUACGGGAGGCAGCAGUGGGGAAUCUUCCGCCAUGGACGAAAGUCUGACGGAGCAACGCCGCGUGAGUGAUGACGGCCUUCGGGUUGUAAAGCUCUGUUAAUCGGGAUGAAAGGCCUUC
rnacentral:rRNA from 1 species